rnacentral:lncRNA from 1 species
GUGGGUGUCUAUAUGGGUGAGUGGGUGUCUAGGUGAAUGAGUGGGUGUCUAUAUGGGUGAGUGGGUGUCUAGGUGGGUGAAUGAGUGGGUGUCUAUAUGGGUGAGUGGGUGUCUAGGUGAAUGAGUGGGUGUCUAUAUGGGUGAGUGGGUGUCUAGUGAAUGAGUGGGUGUCUAGGUGGAUGAGUGUGUAGGUGGUCUAGAUGGGUGGGUGAGUGGAUGUUUAAGUGGGUGGGUGAGUGAACGGGUGUCUUGCUGGGUGGGUGAGUGAGUGGGUGUCUAGGUGGGUGGAUGAGUGGGUAUCUAGAUGGGUGAGUGGGUGUCUGGGUGAGUGAGUGGGUGUUUAGGUGGGUGGGUGAGUGAAUACGUGUCUUGCCGGGUGGGUGAGUUAGUGUCUAGGUGGAUGAGUGGGUGUCUAGGUGGAGGGUUGAGUGGGCGGAUGAGUGGGUGCUAAAAGAGAGUGUGAGUAGCCAAGUACCCAGGUGGGUGGAUGAGUGAGGUGGGUGGAUAAUAUGUGAGUUUGUCUGUGAGUGGUGACAAUGUUUGGUGGGGGUAGGAAGAGGUUGGGUAGGAGAGUAGGUGGUUGGAGCAGGUAAGCAGCUGAGUAGUGGGUGUGUGGGCACAUGGGUAAGUUGAGUGGGUGACUGAAGCAUUAAUGGAAUGGAGCAGGAGCAGCAUGAUAAGCCCGAAGUCCUACAGAGCCCAGGCAGGCACCUCACGUUCCUGACAGGUGCUCUCUACACACCUGGUGCUGUCCCUGCCCCGUCUCUGAGUCCCCGCUCCUGUCACUCCACACUCAUAUUGCCCCUUCAUUUGCUAAAAUACAUGCAACAUGGUCACUUGGAAGUAGAAGGCACUAAGAGACAAAUCAAAACCAAGUUGGCCCAUCAGCCCUGUACAGAUGGAAGGCUGGCAUAGAUGAAGCAGCUUCUGUCAGACCCUCUAGCACAGGCCCUGGGCAGGGAAGGGUCCCUGGGGCUGGAGCAGCUAUCUCUUCUCUGGCAGGUGACCUCACACUCAGCCGUGCCACCAGGGGAGAGGUAGUCAUAGCAGGGACAUGCACAUAGCCAGGUCCAAUGGUGUGAGAGUGGAUGCGGAUCUUCUGAGAUCAGAGGCAGCAUCCAGUCCAUCUGUGAGUCCUCAGGACCCAGCUCAGAGCUGGAAGAGGUGGGGCCCAGAGAUGGCAUAAUGAGGGGCUGAAGGAAGGUGUCCACCAGACUCUGAAACUCCACUGGAGGAAGUGGCAACUCUCCUAAGGUAAUGUUCUCCCAUGCAUGCUGAAAACCCUGCAGGGACACAGCAUGGUAUUAACUAUGGUUAUGGUAAAUAG